GAUGAACGCUGGCGGCGUGCCUAAUACAUGCAAGUCGAGCGAACAGACGAGGAGCUUGCUCCUCUGACGUUAGCGGCGGACGGGUGAGUAACACGUGGAUAACCUACCUAUAAGACUGGGAUAACUUCGGGAAACCGGAGCUAAUACCGGAUAAUAUAUUGAACCGCAUGGUUCAAUAGUGAAAGACGGUUUUGCUGUCACUUAUAGAUGGAUCCGCGCCGCAUUAGCUAGUUGGUAAGGUAACGGCUUACCAAGGCAACGAUGCGUAGCCGACCUGAGAGGGUGAUCGGCCACACUGGAACUGAGACACGGUCCAGACUCCUACGGGAGGCAGCAGUAGGGAAUCUUCCGCAAUGGGCGAAAGCCUGACGGAGCAACUCCGCGUGAGUGAUGAAGGUCUUCGGAUCGUAAAGCUCUGUUAUUAGGGAAGAACAAAUGUGUAAGUAAAUAUGCACGUCUUGACGGUACCUAAUCAGAAAGCCACGGCUAACUACGUG
rnacentral:rRNA from 1 species